AGAGUUUGAUCCUGGCUCAGGACGAACGCUGGCGGCGUGCCUAAUACAUGCAAGUAGAACGCUGAAGAGAGGAGCUUGCUCUUCUUGGAUGAGUUGCGAACGGGUGAGUAACGCGUAGGUAACCUGCCUUGUAGCGGGGGAUAACUAUUGGAAACGAUAGCUAAUACCGCAUAACAAUGGGUGACUCAUGUCAUUUAUUUGAAAGGGGCAAAUGCUCCACUACAAGAUGGACCUGCGUUGUAUUAGCUAGUAGGUGAGGUAACGGCUCACCUAGGCGACGAUACAUAGCCGACCUGAGAGGGUGAUCGGCCACACUGGGACUGAGACACGGCCCAGACUCCUACGGGAGGCAGCAGUAGGGAAUCUUCGGCAAUGGGGGCAACCCUGACCGAGCAACGCCGCGUGAGUGAAGAAGGUUUUCGGAUCGUAAAGCUCUGUUGUAAGUCAAGAACGAGUGUGAGAGUGGAAAGUUCACACUGUGACGGUAGCUUACCAGAAAGGGACGGCUAACUACGUGCCAGCAGCCGCGGUAAUACGUAGGUCCCGAGCGUUGUCCGGAUUUAUUGGGCGUAAAGCGAGCGCAGGCGGUUUGAUAAGUCUGAAGUUAAAGGCUGUGGCUCAACCAUAGUUCGCUUUGGAAACUGUCAAACUUGAGUGCAGAAGGGGAGAGUGGAAUUCCAUGUGUAGCGGUGAAAUGCGUAGAUAUAUGGAGGAACACCGGUGGCGAAAGCGGCUCUCUGGUCUGUAACUGACGCUGAGGCUCGAAAGCGUGGGGAGCGAACAGGAUUAGAUACCCUGGUAGUCCACGCCGUAAACGAUGAGUGCUAGGUGUUGGAUCCUUUCCGGGAUUCAGUGCCGCAGCUAACGCAUUAAGCACUCCGCCUGGGGAGUACGACCGCAAGGUUGAAACUCAAAGGAAUUGACGGGGGCCCGCAC
rnacentral:rRNA from 1 species